UACGGAGGGGGCUAGCGUUGUUCGGAAUUACUGGGCGUAAAGCGCACGUAGGCGGCUUUGUAAGUUAGAGGUGAAAGCCCGGAGCUCAACUCCGGAAUUGCCUUUAAGACUGCAUCGCUAGAAUUGUGGAGAGGUGAGUGGAAUUCCGAGUGUAGAGGUGAAAUUCGUAGAUAUUCGGAAGAACACCAGUGGCGAAGGCGGCUCUCUGGGACGGUACUGACGCUGAGACGCGAAAGCGUGGGGAGCAAACAGG
rnacentral:rRNA from 1 species